GGGAACUCCAACGAGCGCAGGCGUGAAAAAUUCACAUGAAACCUUCUAGGAGGGACCAGCAGCACCCACUGGUGUACAGAGCUACAAGGGCUCAGGAUGCUGGUGGCACCGAUGGGACGUGCUCAGCCAGUGAUGCCCAGUGUUGUAAAAGGAGCCUCCAGCAGGAUUUGGGGGCGCUUUAACAGCCCACCGUGGGGGUUUUAUCCCCCCUGCAACCCAGGUUUGCAAAGCCCCAAGCAGGGCAAAGGAUUCCAGUAAUGUCCAGCCACAACUCCAGAGCAUUUCCAACCCUGCAGCCUUUGAGCACAUGCAACUUGAGCCCAUCUUUCUCCAAAGCCAACGAUAGUUUUGCUCUUAAGUCCAGCAGGAGCCAGGUCAGACCUUAAUUUUAACCCAGAGGAUAAUUCAUUCCGCUCAAAAAUUCAAUUCAGAUGAACACUUAAGUGCUUAAAAUUUGGGUUUGUUCCUGAUUUAUGCUCCUGACAGUGCUGUAUCCCUGGUGCUUGCUCUGACAAGAUCCCACCGUGUUAUUAAACACCUCCUUGGAUCCAUUCCCAGCACCAGAGGAGGGUCCUACAUCCCCCAAAUGUCUUAUCUCCCUGUGUCCAGCUCUGGUC